rnacentral:rRNA from 1 species
AUUGAACGCUGGCGGCAUGCUUUACACAUGCAAGUCGAACGGCAGCGCGGGCUUCGGCCUGGCGGCGAGUGGCGAACGGGUGAGUAAUACAUCGGAACGUGCCCAGUAGUGGGGGAUAGCUCGGCGAAAGCCGGAUUAAUACCGCAUACGACCUGAGGGUGAAAGCGGGGGAUCUUCGGACCUCGCGCUAUUGGAGCGGCCGAUGGCAGAUUAGCUAGUUGGUGGGGUAAAGGCCUACCAAGGCGACGAUCCGUAGCUGGUCUGAGAGGACGACCAGCCACACUGGAACUGAGACACGGCCCAGACUCCUACGGGAGGCAGCAGUGGGGAAUAUUGGACAAUGGGCGAAAGCCUGAUCCAGCAAUGCCGCGUGUGUGAUGAAGGCCUUCGGGUUGUAAAGCACUUUUGGCGGGAACGAAAAGGACUGUGCCAAUACCACGGUGCGAUGACGGUACCCGCAGAAUAAGCACCGGCUAACUACGUG